ACGCACGCUGGCGGCGUGCUUAACACCUGCAAGUCGCACGGAAAGGCCCUGCUUUUGUGGGGUGCUCGAGUGGCGAACGGGUGAGUAACACGUGAGUAACCUGCCCUUGACUUUGGGGUAACUUCAGGAAACUGGGGCUAAUACCGGAUAGGAGCUCCUGCUGCAUGGUGGGGGUUGGAAAGUUUCGGCGGUUGGGGAUGGACUCGCGGCUUAUCAGCUUGUUGGUGGGGUAGUGGCUUACCAAGGCUUUGACGGGUAGCCGGCCUGAGAGGGUGACCGGCCACAUUGGGACUGAGAUACGGCCCAGACUCCUACGGGAGGCAGCAGUGGGGAAUAUUGCACAAUGGGCGGAAGCCUGAUGCAGCAACGCCGCGUGCGGGAUGACGGCCUUCGGGUUGUAAACCGCUUUCGCCUGUGACGAAGCGUGAGUGACGGUAAUGGGUAAAGAAGCACCGGCUAACUACGUG
rnacentral:rRNA from 1 species